UAGUGCAGUCUUCACUACCUUAAGCUGACGGUUGUUUUAGCUUAUUUUAAACUGUUUCCACUUUGCAAUACUGUUUUAGCUUAUUUUAAACUGUUUUCUAGCUUAAGUACAUCAAGUUAUCCCCAUUUUAAUCCCUGCUUCAUGCAAGGGAACAUUUGAAAUAAAUGCAUUGCAAUAGUUCUUUGACUGUUCAAAAAUAGGCACAAACCCAAAGGAAAUAAGAUAAUUAACAGCCAAACAAAAAAUACGCAAACAAAUGAAUUAUCAUCCAACUCUUCUCUCCAGUGAAAUUGUAUAGAGAUUGCAUAGCCUUCCGCAAAUUUAUUUUCCACAUACAAAGGAAAUUUUGACCAAAUCUUUUGAUCACUUCACGGAAAACCAAAGGGCACAAUAGUGUUACAGAUCAAAUAAUAGAUAAUUCAAACAAAUCAAUACAUAACCUCACGAUAGUCACAACACAACA